rnacentral:rRNA from 1 species
CAAUAGCGUAUAUUAAAGUUGUUGCGGUUAAAAAGCUCGUAGUUGGAUUUCUGUUGAGGACGAUCGGUCCGCCCUCUGGGUGAGUAUCUGGCUCGGCCUUGGCAUCUUCUUGGAGAACGUUGCUGCACUUCACUGUGUGGUACGGUAUCCAGGACUUUUACUUUGAGGAAAUUAGAGUGUUUCAAGCAGGCGCACGCCUUGAAUACAUUAGCAUGGAAUAAUGAGAUAGGACCUCGGUUCUAUUUUGUUGGUUUCUAGAGCUGGGGUAAUGAUUAAUAGGGAUAGUUGGGGGCAUUCGUAUUUAACCGUCAGAGGUGAAAUUCUUGAAUUUGUUAAAGACGGACUACUGCGAAAGCAUCUGCCAUGGAUGUUUUCAUUGA